ACUCCUUCGAACAAAAUCAUUCUUGCUUGGAGCCGCCGCGACGCGAAUGUGUAACAACAAGUUAAUAGAAAAUACCAAUAAAACGAGCCAGUUAAGAAAUAUUUUUGAUUUUAAAUUGCCACCAUCGAUUUAUUGGCAGGAGCAAAGUAAAAAAUAAUAAUACAAGAGGUUUUGUUGUUCACCUGGAAGUGGAUGUGGUAGCAGCUACGGUCGCACAUAGAUUGAAUAAGCAGAGCGGCGAGACGUGCUGAGUGAGUGAGUGAGUGUGCGUCACUUUGUUAAUCAAAAUAUUAGGAAAAAUUGAAUUUUCGACUCGUGAGUGCAGCGAGCGGUCUCUUGUUAAUUGUUAAUUGCUGUGAAGUUUGUCCGCAAGUCGAAACAGUGUUAAACGGUGAUGCCCCCAACGCACAAUAACUCGAUUUUUCGUUCCUAAAAAUUUUACCUACUCGACCAACACACAUACACUUAUACACACACCUACCCACACACACGCGGCGGCCGAGCUGCAGAGCACGCAGAAGAAGAAGAAGAGUCGGAGGCAAAAGCGAAGCGGAGACCAUCAACUUAAAAUUUGCGAGGUGAAAAUAACGAGAGCGAAGGUUUCCCACCGCCAGCCGCCAACAAAGUUCAUAAAUCGACGUCCCCGACAGUCAGGUCGCAGGCACACCGAACGAAUUCCACCCGCCCGCACACAACACAGCAUGUUCAGUGGACAUGGGCGGAUUCCUGGAUAAGCCGAACACCGCCAAGCACAAUGACGAGGGCGAGGGCAACAAGCUGCUCUUCGGCGUCAGCUCCAUGCAGGGCUGGCGCUGCGAGAUGGAGGACGCCUACUACGCCCGUGCCGGUCUGGGCAAUGCCCUGGAGGACUGGAGCUUCUUUGCCGUGUUCGAUGGGCACGCUGGUUGCAAGGUAUCCGAGCAUUGUGCCAAGCACCUGCUGGACAGCAUUGUCAGCACCGAUGAGUUCAUUGGCGGCGACCACGUGAAGGGCAUACGCACGGGUUUCCUUCGCAUCGACGAGGUUAUGCGGGAUCUGCCGGAGUUCACCAUGGAGGAGGAGAAGUGUGGCGGCACCACCGCCGUUUGCGCAUUUGUCAGCUCCACGCAGGUGUACAUCGCCAACUGUGGUGACUCCCGGGCGGUGCUCUGCCGCCAGGGAGUGCCGGUGUUCGCAACGCAGGAUCAUAAGCCCAUCCUGCCGGAAGAAAAGGAGCGCAUCCACAAUGCCGGCGGCAGCGUCAUGAUCAAGCGAGUGAACGGAACACUGGCGGUUUCCAGGGCUCUCGGCGAUUACGACUUCAAGAAUGUCAAGGAGAAGGGACAGUGCGAGCAGCUGGUCUCGCCGGAGCCGGAGAUCUUCUGUCAGAGCCGACAAGACACCGAUGAGUUUCUGGUGCUUGCAUGUGACGGCAUCUGGGACGUGAUGACCAACGAGGACGUGUGCAGCUUCAUUCACUCGCGAAUGCGGGUGACCAGCGACCUGGUUAACAUCGCCAACCAGGUGGUGGACACGUGCCUGCACAAGGGCAGUCGGGAUAACAUGAGCAUCAUCAUUAUCGCCUUCCCCGGAGCUCCGAAGCCCACCGUGGAGGCGAUAGAGGCUGAGAACAGGCUGGAGAAACAAAUCGAGAAGAUCACAAGAGAUGAGAUAGAGUCUAGCAAGAUAACCGACUACGUGGAUCUGCUGAAGUGUCUCCAGAACAGAGACGACAUCGAAGGUCUUCCCCCCGGUGGCGGUUUGCAGUCCAAAUAUCACGUUAUCGAGCGCACAUUCAAGCAAGAGUUUCCGGAUCGACCAUGUGAAAAACCUCCAAUUGCAUAUUUUAUUCCAUGGAAGUAAUUGAGCUGCAAUUUCAUCAUCGGACAGAGAAUCAAUUUUCAACACAUCCAUUUGGCCCGUAGGAAUGGGUUGUUUAUACCGUUUAUUGCUAUAACUACAGUUUAUAAAGGAUUAAAGUUUUAAUCCUUUAAAGGAGAAAGUCAACAGAUUUUAUUAUCCACAAUGCCACAAUCGAUGGGAUAUAAUUUAUAUGCCUCGCCGCCUCUUAUUUCUUCCGUAAGACCAAGCGUUCAAUUUCACUUACGAUGUCCUUCACACCGAGUGCAGAUACAUAGAUACAGAUCCAGCACAAAAAAUAAGUUAAAUUCCUUGUUUUGAAAAAUUAUUUUUAAAAUUUAUAUUUGUUAGUUGAAUGGUAAAAACUAUUUAUUGCAAUUAUAAAAUUAUUGAAUUUCCUUUAAAUAAACCUUAAUGUUUAAUUUAAAGAUGAUACUAUUAUUUUUCAACAACUGUAUGAUGUAUAUGUCUGAUAUUUGCACCAGAGGAGCAUAUUAACCGUGGCUGGCCGUCCGUUCCGGCCAUGAGCUGUAUGUUGUGUUGGUUCAAGUGAGAGUCCGGAGCCGGGGAAGUGGAAGUGUAUGUCCUGUAUGGGAGGUAGUUUUUAUCUACAGCCCCGCUGACAGCUGAAGAUUUGGCUCUACCUCCGGCCCUGAUUGCUUACAAUGUGCCUGCUCGCUUGGCCCCGCCCAUAGUCCACCACCCACCGCCCACCAUCCCAUCUCCAGUGUCCUCAUUUCAGUUUUUUACAAAAAAAAUGCGAAAAUCCCUGUUGGAGCAAGCGUUGUCGUCGGCGCAUCGUCAUCGCUGCUAAAAUUGAAUUGGAAUUGCUUCAGCUUCAAUGGCAGGCAAACGACAGGCAAUCUGUUGAGUCUCCUCUGAUUGAAUGAGAAGCACAGGAACAAGGUCGCCAAAGGAGCAGGAGGCGGGAGUCGGCUAUUUGUGUGGGUGUGGGUGGGAGUCGGGGAAAAGCGUAACGAAUGCGCGUAAUGCGCUUGGAUGGAUGAAUCCCAG